CAUUGAUCUCUUCCUAGUGGUACCCUGCUCAUCCUAGCCUCAACUCCUCUAUCCAUCUCCCCUCCCUGUCUCGCUACACCUGUGAUAGCUACCGCUAAUAUGUCUGCUUUCUUCCUCAUUUUACGUUCCUCCUCACGCUUUGUCUCAGUUUCCCUAUUCAUAUAUACUUUAUUUGCAACCUCCAUUAACUGUGAUAUGGACAUCCCUGCAAAUCCCUCUAACGUUUGUAAUUUUCUCUUGAUAUUGUUCUGGGCCUGGCUGACAAAUGCUGACAAAUGCUGAGUUAAUCAUUCGGGCAAUAUGUGGUGGACCAGGGGUAAGCCGGAGAGGCAUUUGUAAAUGUCGGGAUUAAAGGGUACCAGUCAUUUGUCGAGUUAGUAUGGGACUUCGAUAGGGUUGUUUAGUAACAGGUUCCGAUCUGGGAGUAGUAAGGUAAGUGAAAGGGGGUGAGUUAAUUUUACUGGUCAGCAUUAGGUG